UUGAGCUUUGAUCAGAAAACGGACACUAAAAUAGUGAAAAACACUUUGGUCUCCUGGAUGAGUAAGCAGAUGAGAGUCUCAACAAAUUUCAAAGUUCAAAAUGAAAAAUAUAUUUA
ensembl:ncRNA ZK1248.21 ncRNA